rfam:Dipodomys ordii contig_21501, whole genome shotgun sequence.
GGGGAUGUGGCUCAGUGGUACAGCGCUUGCCUAGCAUGCAUGAGCUCUGGUUCAUCCCUA